AUCAUCAUAGUCAUUUGCUUUAAGAUCAGCAAGAUUGAUAAUGAAACUAAACCCCUUUUCACCAUUAGAAAUCACUUGUCUGUUUUGUUUAGAUUGAUUAUAUAAAGAAGGUGGUAAAAUAUCAAGUUGAUUGUUUUGAACACUUUGGGCACUUGACCAAAUAUAGACGAUCGUAUCUUUUCUCAAUAUAAGCAUUUGUAAAUUCAACUUUAUC
rnacentral:ribozyme from 1 species